GUGGGGAAUUUUGGACAAUGGGCGAAAGCCUGAUCCAGCCAUGCCGCGUGCAGGAUGAAGGCCUUCGGGUUGUAAACUGCUUUUGUACGGAACGAAAAGACUCCUUCUAAUAAAGGGGGUCCAUGACGGUACCGUAAGAAUAAGCACCGGCUAACUACGUGCCAGCAGCCGCGGUAAUACGUAGGGUGCAAGCGUUAAUCGGAAUUACUGGGCGUAAAGCGUGCGCAGGCGGUUAUAUGAGACAGAUGUGAAAUCCCCGGGCUCAACCUGGGAACUGCAUUUGUGACUGUAUAGCUAGAGUACGGUAGAGGGGGAUGGAAUUCCGCGUGUAGCAGUGAAAUGCGUAGAUAUGCGGAGGAACACCGAUGGCGAAGGCAAUCCCCUGGACCUGUACUGACGCUCAUGCACGAAAGCGUGGGGAGCAAACAGGAUUAGAUACCCGGGUAGUCC
rnacentral:rRNA from 1 species